rnacentral:rRNA from 1 species
AUUGAACGCUGGCGGCAUGCUUUACACAUGCAAGUCGAACGGCAGCGCGGGCUUCGGCCUGGCGGCGAGUGGCGAACGGGUGAGUAAUACAUCGGGACGUGCCCAGUAGUGGGGGAUAGCCCGGCGAAAGCCGGAUUAAUACCGCAUACGACCUGAGGGUGAAAGCGGGGGAUCUUCGGACCUCGCGCUAUUGGAGCGGCCGAUGGCAGAUUAGCUAGUUGGUGGGGUAAAGGCCUACCAAGGCGACGAUCUGUAGCUGGUCUGAGAGGACGACCAGCCACACUGGGACUGAGACACGGCCCAGACUCCUACGGGAGGCAGCAGUGGGGAAUUUUGGACAAUGGGCGAAAGCCUGAUCCAGCAAUGCCGCGUGUGUGAUGAAGGCCUUCGGGUUGUAAAGCACUUUUGGCGGGAACGAAAAGGACUGUGCCAAUACCACGGUUCGAUGACGGUACCCGCAGAAUAAGCACCGGCUAACUACGUG